rnacentral:rRNA from 1 species
AUUGAACGCUGGCGGCAGGCCUAACACAUGCAAGUCGAACGAGUGGCGGACGGGUGAGUAAUGUCUGGGAAACUGCCUGAUGGAGGGGGAUAACUACUGGAAACGGUAGCUAAUACCGCAUACCAUCGGAUGUGCCCAGAUGGGAUUAGAUAGUGGGGGGGGUAAAGGCUCACCUAGGCGACGAUCCCUAGCUGGUCUGAGAGGAUGACCAGCAACACUGGAAAUGAGACAGGGGCCAGAUUCCUACGGGAGGCAGCCGUGGGGAAUAUUGCACAAUGGGCGCAAGCAUGAUGCAGCCAUGCCGCGUGUGUGAAGAAGGUCUUCGGAUUGUAAAGCACUUUAAGUUGGGAGGCGUUACCAACAGAAUAAGCACCGGCUAACUUCGUGCCAGCAGCCGCGGUAAUAC